rnacentral:rRNA from 1 species
CGUAGGGGGCAAGCGUUGUCCGGAUUUACUGGGCGUAAAGAGCGUGUAGGCGGCCGAGCAGGUCCGUUGUGAAAACUGGAGGCUUAACCUCCAGACGUCGACGGAAACCGCGUGGCUAGAGUCCGGAAGAGGAGAGUGGAAUUCCUGGUGUAGCGGUGAAAUGCGCAGAUAUCAGGAAGAACACCAAUGGCGAAGGCAGCUCUCUGGGACGGUACUGACGCUGAGACGCGAAAGCGUGGGGAGCGAACAGGAUUAGAUACCCUGGUAGUCCACGCCGUAAACGAUGGGUGCUAGGUGUGGGAGGUGUCGACUCCUUCCGUGCCGUAGCUAACGCAUUAAGCACCCCGCCUGGGGAGUACGGCCGCAAGGCUA